AUGAACGCUAGCGGCAGGCUUAAUACAUGCAAGUUGAGGGGCAGCAUGAUAUACGCGAGUAUAUUGAUGGCGACCGGCGGACGGGUGAGUAAUAGGUAGGAGACCUACCUCAUACAGGGGGAUAGCAUAGAGAAAUCUGUGGUAAUACCCCAUGAGGUUAUAUGAAUAGAGGCAUAUAAUCAAAGCAUAAGCGAUUAUGCGGUAUGAGAGGGGCCUACUGACCAUUAGCUAGUUGGUGAGGUAAGGGCUCACCAAGGCGAAGAUGGUUAGGGGUUUUGAGAGAGAGACCCCCCCACAUUGGAACUGAGAGACGGUCCAGACUCCUACGGGAGGCAGCAGUAGGGAAUAUUGGGCAAUGGGCGAAAGCCUGACCCAGCCAUGCCGCGUGAAGGAAGACGGCCUUAUGGGUUGUAAACUUCUUUACUACGCGAAUAGAGGUUAGUACGAGAUACUAAUAGGAAGGUAGUGUAGUAAAAAGCACCGGCUAACUCCGUG
rnacentral:rRNA from 1 species